rnacentral:rRNA from 1 species
GAUGAACGCUGGCGGCGUGCCUAAUACAUGCAAGUCGAGCGAACAGAUGAGGAGCUUGCUCCUCUGACGUUAGCGGCGGACGGGUGAGUAACACGUGGAUAACCUACCUAUAAGACUGGGAUAACUUCGGGAAACCGGAGCUAAUACCGGAUAAUAUAUUGAACCGCAUGGUUCAAUAGUGAAAGACGGUUUUGCUGUCACUUAUAGAUGGAUCCGCGCCGCAUUAGCUAGUUGGUAAGGUAACGGCUUACCAAGGCAACGAUGCGUAGCCGACCUGAGAGGGUGAUCGGCCACACUGGAACUGAGACACGGUCCAGACUCCUACGGGAGGCAGCAGUAGGGAAUCUUUCGCAAUGGGCGAAAGCCUGACGGAGCAACGCCGCGUGAGUGAUGAAGGUCUUCGGAUCGUAAAACUCUGUUAUUAGGGAAGAACAAAUGUGUAAGUAACUAUGCACGUCUUGACGGUACCUAAUCAGAAAGCCACGGCUAACUACGUG